rnacentral:rRNA from 1 species
UACAGAGGUCUCAAGCGUUUGUUCGGAUUCAUUGGGGCGUAAAGGGUGCGUAGGCGGCGCGGUAAGUCGGGUGUGAAAUUUCGAGGCUUAACUUCGAAACUGCAUUCGAUACUGCCGUGCUUGAGGACUGGAGAGGAGACUGGAAUUCUCGGUGUAGCGGUGAAAUGCGUAGAUAUCGAGAGGAACACCUGCGGCGAAGGCGGGUUGCUGGGCUGACACUGACGCUGAUGCGCGAAAGCCAGGGGAGCGAACGGG